rnacentral:lncRNA from 1 species
GGAGAGAAGAGGGAUGAGGCGCAGAGGGAGUGGGAGGCCCGUCUGACUGUCAUGGGCAUAAAGGUGACGGGGGAGGAAACCCAGAGAAACUUACAGAACAACAGUGAAGGGCUGGCAGAGGAAGAUGGCCCAGUAUCGGGGGAGGGGGAGUGAGAGGAGGUUCGAGAAGAAGACCAAAGGAGUAACGUAACGAGAAAUGUCUGUGCCAUUGCUGGGGGCUGGGGGCAGAGUUGGAAGGGGCGGGCAGGGCUGUUGCUGCAGAUGCCACGAGGGAAACGUUAUUGGGUGCUGGCCCAGGUGUGGGCAGAGGCACCCUCGAGGGCUGAGGUAAAGUGCACACCCAGCAUAAAGAAAAGGGAACCGAGGGUUUUAAAGCUGGUGCAGCCUUUCUGGAGGGCCAUCUAACAAAAAAUAUUUAAAUAGAAAUAAAAAGCAGAGCCAUUUUUGAGACUCUCUCCAACAGAAAUAAUACAGAACGCCAUGAGGAUAAGCAUAAAGGGAUAGUUGUGGCAGCCUGGCAGUGUUUAAAAACACGGGGAACAACCUGAGUGCCUGCUAAAUGGGGAGCCCUUACACUCAUGGCACAUCCACAGAAUGGGGUGCAGUGCAGUCUCACAGAGUGUGGCUGGGCAUGUACACUGAUCUGAUGUGGAACCAUGUUGGUACAUGGCUUGAAAUGAAGCAAGCUGCAGAAUAAUAUGUGUACUGGGAUCUCAUAUAUGUUUUUGAAACCAACUCCUACUUAUGUGCAUAAAACUACAUUAUGUUUGCGUGUAGUAAACUCUGGAAGGACACAUGCUCCACCUUUAACACCAUUCAGGGCAGGGUGAGAGGAACUCACACAUUUGACUCUUCAGUGUUCUUGAAAUAAACAUGGAUUUCUUCUGUAAUAAAAAGGAAAAGGAAAGGUUGUAGGAUGUGGCAACGAAGAGGGGACUGAGUCUCUGGGGGAUGAGACCCAUGAGCUGGUGGGAGAGGAGGCCAAUUAUGCCAGAUGAAAUGGACAGGAAGGGUGGGCGGGCCUUCCAUAGAUUGGGAAGAUCCUCCAGAUAAUUCUGAUAAAUGGCAAUUUUGAAAGAGGACGCUAGCUUAAGGAAGGGGGGUAGUGGAGGGAAGGUUUAAAUCUAAUGGGAGGUAGGCUGUCGGGGAGGGAGGUGAGGGCAGAAGGAACUUAACAUAAAUCUGGGGAGAGGGAUACUUGGCUGCAGGGCCAGCCUGGGGUAAGCAGAAAGGCUGGCAUGUCCCAAAGCCCAGGGAAAGGCAUAACCCUACAAAAGGGCAAGGAGCACAUUGGAGGUAAUGGGAGACAUGGACAGAUGACGUGAGGCUGGAGGGCUAGGGGGGAGUUCACAAUUGAUGGCCGAGGUGUUUAUCAGUGAACUAAGAGUGGAUGUUGUCAACUGAUAGGGACGAGAGUUUGAGGGUAAUGAUAAACUCUGGGAAUUGGGGGAAAAGGGCCAGCAUGAAUUAGCAAAACUGACUGGUAGGCAGCAGCAGAGGGGGCCCUGCCCUGCUGAGCUGUGAACUAUACAUUUGUGAUGGAAGAAACUGGUAGUUAUGCAUUUUUCUCUUAGCAGAGCUACAGUAUAAGGCUUGAGAAAAUGAAAGGUUCCACUGUUCCAAGGCUGGAGACCAGCAAGGCAAGCCCAGCAUAAAGAAAAGGGAACCAAGGGUUUUAAACAGAUUGACCAUGAGGUAGAGAAAAACAUGAUAUGUAACCGAAGGGCUUCAAGUUGGGAUGAGCAGCCAUAACAUGUUUCCAGAGAAGGGAGUGGUGGGAAGCCAAGGCGGGGGAUCCACAGGUAAUGCUGGGUUCAAGGUUUGGCUGUGGGGAUGGGUUGCAGAAGUGGAGAUGAGCAACAAGUCCCCUUGGGGGUUGAUACAAUUGUUUAGGCUGAGCCGUAUGGGGCAGAGAUAAAACUGGUGAGUCUGAGGCCAGAGCUCUCCAUUCAUUCAUUCAUUCAACAAAUAUUUAUUGAGCAUCUACUAUGUGCUAGGCAUUCUUCUAAUAAGCUCCUGUGGGGAUGUAAAUGUGGAAGUACAUCGGGUUGUUGAUAGAUGAAGAUGGGAAGGAGAUGGUCAUGUGGCAUGAGAGGGCUCCAAGAGGAAGAGGAAGCAUCACCAAGAGGAAUUAGAAUGGUCAGGAGCGGGAGGAAAGAAGCCAGUAAGGCACAGUCCUGGAGGCCUUGCCUGAGGGAAGAUAGAAAAGAGAAGAGCCUUACUGUAAAUUUCAGAAGACUUGGAAGAGGAGCCACCCUCAGGGAAAGACAGGUUUUGGAUAAGGGGAAGAGACGCCAGGAAGCGAGUGUCUGCGGCUUCCUCAUGCAACGUGGCCUGCCUUCCCAAUCCCCUCUGGGCUCACAGGCUGCUACCCAGCCAAGGGGAAGGGCAGGGUAAAGAGCAGGGGACAUCUGUCCUCAGAUAUCACAAGGCUCUAUCCCCAGGAUUAUGGCACUCUCCUUUGUGACCAGCUCUGGAUUUUGGCCCUCGCCCACUGAAUGCAAGUACAGAGAAACAAGAAGGCUAAAGAGGAACGGGUGGAGCAGAUACAGUGCCAAGAGACAGGGUUCCGUGAGGAGCCAGACAUGGUGAACACAGAGGAGCAGAAGCCCCAGGACAUUUCUGAGGGAAGAGGUAGAUGAACACAGUGGCAGGGCUGGAAGACAGUCAUACCCCGAGGAAAAUGUGACCCCCAAAGAAGUCAGGGCUACUGCAGGGCAAUCACUAGACACAUCUGGUUCCACCAAGUCUUAGGGGAUCCCGUUAGACGGCAGCAGUCCCUCUGAUGGCUUCUUCCUGUCGUUGGGCCACUCUGAGGCAUGAGAAAGAAGAGGUCCGGGGGGCAAUGGUGGGUCAGUGGUGCAGAAGAGCCUGGGUGGAGGUGGGCGGUGAUGGCCUGGGCUCGCUCUGUGGCUCUCAGGGAGGCUGCCUUUCCUUCCACCUCGACACACCGGCCCUCUCCCACAUUUUACUUUUCAGAUGGAGGCUCCACUUUUUAGUGUCAGCUGCUUUUUCACCGGUCCCGUUCCCUCUACCACCAACCUUGUCAUUUGACUUGAGUAUCCUGGUCUUCGUCAUUUGGCUUGACUAUUCUGGUCUUCAUUCCCUGUCCCUUGAGGUGUGGGUGUGGCAGGUCCCCUAUGCACUCAUGUCCAUCAGCAUGACAAUUGCAAUCAAGUUCUGCUUUUUAGGUUCCAAAGGAAGCUGGAGAUGACCUAGAGCCUUUGGCUUCUCCGCCUAACAUCCGCUUGGGCAGGGAAGGGGAGAGAAGGAGAACACGAAGUGAGGCAUGGGAAUGAGACAAUGGUGGGAAAAGAGGACGCUGGAAGGAAGAUCUACUCUUCCAGUCUGC